GGCAAGUCUUUAAAAGCAGGCACAGUUCACUGUGAAGAUGAGGCAGAUCCUUAUGUUUGGCAAGUGUGCCAGUAGGUCCUUUAGCCGAAGCUCGGGUGGAUCCGCGUUUUACGCACAUGUGGCAUUUGCGUAGAGCGGAGUUCCUGUAUCCAUCUUGGCUGUGGGCCUUUGGCUUGGUCGUAGCCUAUUUGGCAUUGGGCUGGUGUCGUACUCCUCUGCCGGCUGGUUCAUCUGCUCCUGCUUUAGAGACUGUGCCUCAUCUCUCGCGGUGGUGAGGGUCCCCAAACUCGCCAAGCGAACUGCUACAGACGGGUUGCUGUUUUGUUUGGAAUGGAUGUGCACUGAGUGCGUGUUUGUCUGAAUAUCUGAGUUGCCUUUGGUAGGCUAUGUGAGACGCACAUGUGGAUGAAUGCUGGAACGAUCGCUGACUUUGUUGUUUUUAAUAUUUUGUUUGGUUAACUACAUUACUGUCAUUUUGUUUACACUGCACUUGUGAUUAGGCUAGUGUACCUGUGCCAAGCUCCGCCGACCCCAUAUAAUCUUGCGUGCAGUGCUAUAGAGUGCCCGUUUGGCACCCGUGUGGUUUGCAGUGAUACUCGUGUGUAAUCAUUAUUCUUUAUUUUUAUUUAUAGUUUGUUGUGUUUUGUCUGGGUGGGUUGAUUUUACACCUUGAGUUACAAAGGGUCGGGGAACGUAUUUGGUAUGGGACAUCAAGCGGAUCCAAUUGUGCUCCGUAGAAAAUGCUGAUUCUUUGUAGUACAGCCACCAUAGUUGUCCAAAUCUGUUUCUACUGUGUCUUUUUAAAGUAGUUGGCACAUUUUAAAAACAACUGUCUGAAUAAAAAGAAAGUCAACUG